rnacentral:rRNA from 1 species
GACGAACGCUGGCGGCGUGCCUAAUACAUGCAAGUAGAACGCUGAAGCUUGGUGCUUGCCCCGAGCGGAUGAGUUGCGAACGGGUGAGUAACGCGUAGGUAACCUGCCUGGUAGCGGGGGAUAACUAUUGGAAACGAUAGCUAAUACCGCAUAAGAGUAGAUGUUGCAUGACAUUUGCUUAAAAGGUGCAAUUGCAUCACUACCAGAUGGACCUGCGUUGUAUUAGCUAGUUGGUGAGGUAACGGCUCACCAAGGCAACGAUACAUAGCCGACCUGAGAGGGGGAUCGGCCACACUGGGACUGAGACACGGCCCAGACUCCUACGGGAGGCAGCAGUAGGGAAUCUUCGGCAAUGGACGGAAGUCUGACCGAGCGACGCCGCGUGAGUGAAGAAGGUUUUCGGAUCGUAAAGCUCUGUUGUAAGAGAAGAACGAGUGUGAGAGUGGAAAGUUCACACUGUGACGGUAUCUUACCAGAAAGGGACGGCUAACUACGUG